GGUGAAGCGGCAACAGCUCAAAUUUGAAAUCUGGCUCUCGGGCCCGAGUUGUAAUUUGUAGAGGAUGACUUUGAUGCGGUGCCUUCCGAGUUCCCUGGAACGGGACGCCAUAGAGGGUGAGAGCCCCGUCUGGUUGGAUGCCAAAUCUCUGUAAGUCUCCUUCGACGAGUCGAGUAGUUUGGGAAUGCUGCUCUAAAUGGGAGGUAUAUGUCUUCUAAAGCUAAAUACCGGCCAGAGACCGAUAGCGCACAAGUAGAGUGAUCGAAAGAUGAAAAGCACUUUGAAAAGAGAGUUAAAAAGUACGUGAAAUUGUUGAAAGGGAAGCGUUUAUGACCAGACUUGGGCUUGGUUAAUCAUCUGGGGUUCUCCCCAGUGCACUUUUCCAGUUCAGGCCAGCAUCAGUUUUCGCCGGGGGAUAAAGACUUCGGGAAUGUGGCUCCUCUCGGGGAGUGUUAUAGCCCGUUGUGUAAUACCCUGGCGGGGACUGAGGUUCGCGCUUCUGCAAGGAUGCUGGCGUAAUGGUCAUCAACGACCCGUCUUGAAACACGGACCAAGGAGUCGUCUUCGUAUGCGAGUGUUCGGGUGUCAAACCCCUACGCGUAAUGAAAGUGAACGCAGGUGAGAGCUUCGGCGCAUCAUCGACCGAUCCUGAUGUUCUCGGAUGGAUUUGAGUAAGAGCAUACGGGGCCGGACCCGAAAGAAGGUGAACUAUGCCUGUGUAGGGUGAAGCCAGAGGAAACUCUGGUGGAGGCUCGCAGCGGUUCUGACGUGCAAAUCGAUCGUCAAACAUGGGCAUGGGGGGCGAAAGACUAAUCGAACCUUCUAGUAGCUGGUUUCCGCCGAAGUU
rnacentral:rRNA from 1 species